rnacentral:rRNA from 1 species
UACAGAGGGGGCAAGCGUUAUUCGGAAUUAUUGGGCGUAAAGGGCGCGUAGGCGGCUUUGCAAGUGACGGGUGAAAUCCCUCGGCUUAACCGAGGAACUGCCUGUCAAACUGCAUGGCUUGAGACCGGGAGAGGUGGGUAGAAUUCCCAGUGUAGCGGUGAAAUGCGUAGAUAUUGGGAGGAACACCAGUGGCGAAGGCGGCUCACUGGACCGGUACUGACGCUGAUGCGCGAAAGCGUGGGGAGCAAACGGG